rnacentral:rRNA from 1 species
AGUGAACGCUGGCGGUAGGCCUAACACAUGCAAGUCGAACGGCAGCACAGUAAGAGCUUGCUCUUACGGGUGGCGAGUGGCGGACGGGUGAGGAAUAUAUCGGAAUCUACUUUUUCGUGGGGGAUAACGUAGGGAAACUUACGCUAAUACCGCAUACGACCUACGGGUGAAAGCAGGGGAUCUUCGGACCUUGCGCGAUUGAAUGAGCCGAUGUCGGGUUAGCUAGUUGGCGGGGUAAAGGCCCACCAAGGCGACGAUCCGUAGCUGGUCUGAGAGGAGGGUCGGCGACACGGGAGCUGAGACACAGUCCAGACUCCUGCGAUAGGCAGCAGUGGGGAAUAUUGGACAGUGGUCGCGAGCCUGGUCCAGCCAUACCGCGUGUGUGAAGGAGGCCUUCGGGGUGUAAAGCCCGUUUGUUGGUAAAGAAAAGCAUCAGGUUAAUACCCCGCGGUUCUGGCGGUACCCAAAGAAUAAGCACCGGCUAACUUCGUG